AUUUUAAAGUGGAGCAAAUCCUUUAUUUUGAAAAAAAAUCGAUGAAAAAGCCUAAUUUACGCAGAUAUUUUUCCAGUAUUUCUUCAUAGUUCCACUCAGAAUAAAACGGAGGAGAAUUAAUUUAACUUCUUGUAUAAAAAUGUAUAUUCCACGGGACGCUUUUGAGCUCAAGCCUCAAGGAAUUGGAUGAUGAUGUCAUGAAUAUUCAAGGUGUAAAAAAGGUCUUUCAUGGAUUUACGCAGAGAGGGUCGCUGUAUGAUCACUCCAAUUCAGAAUCAUAAGAAGAAGCUACUGAUUAAAGAUCAUCGCGAGGUAUUCGUUAUGUACGUUUCAAUCUCUUGCUACAAUGUUUCACCUUUCUUUCUUCCCUUUUUUUGUAGAAACACAUCCCAAAACGCGACCCUCGACACGACGUGAAAUAAUCUCCAGCGAUAAUGCAGCGGAUAUUAUGUUCUAUCAAACUUCAUUCUAAUUCUUGAUCGCAAAGAAUCAGCAUUACUUCUUCUGCAUUGGCGCCAUAUGUGCCAGACUCGAUGAAUAUACGACAUAAUGAUUGAUUAGAACUCGUGCCGUUUGAAGUACAUGUCUAUUGUGAUGAAAAUGAAGACGCAAUGACUUUUUAUCCCCGUUGUAAGCUUAUCAAGUGGAAUACAAUCGAUUCUGAACACUUUGUUCCCACGAUUAAGGGAUUCGUUAUUUUCACCACAGGGAAGUUCCGUCGUCUAAAAUUCACUGGUGACCCGGCUGUGAGGCCGCUACGUUGGAAUGAUAAACGGUUUUCGGAUAAUUUUCAGUUCUGACCAUUGUGCAUUACUUCAGUACAAAGUGUUACAUAAAUUAAAUUCCAUCUUUGGCUUCUCUAUUGAAGAUUAUAACAACGUUAAAUAUGAACUAAUUAAACCGAUCACAUGCGCCAGAAACCUGGACCCUGUUUGAUGCAUGUAUCAGAGCAUGUAUCUUCUUCAGAACUUCUUCACUUCAGCAAAUUCCGUCAGAGAUU